GUUUAUUGGGAUUUAAACAAAGAUGUAUCAAAAAUAAUUACAGACACUUUUUAGUAAUGUGACUUAAAAAUGCUACAUCUUGUUAGUUUGUCUUUUUUUAAAGGUAUUUAAGAAGGAACUGUUGACCCUCUCUGAAAAGCUUCCUCUUUCUUUGUUAAAGUGGUGUAGUUUCCUGGUGUGUCAGUAGAGCUGCUGUCUGUCUGUCAGUGAACACGCUGCAUGAGACUCUGUCUGACUCUCUUCUGCUGGGAUUGGACUCUUCUGGAAACUGGAUUUUAGAGAAAUGAUGCUGAUCUUUGGACUGAUGCUGCUGCUGCAAACUGCUGCAUGUCUGGAUCAGUUCUGCUGGUUUGAUAAAUCUGAUCCCUGUUACGCAGCUCUGGGACACAAACUCAAUCUGCUGAUGGUGCGAGACACUCGAGAAUAUGACCUGAGGUUACGUCACAGAAUAAAUAACACACAAGAUGAUCCAGUUUGUAGAGUAAAAUAUGGCAGGAUAAAGGAAUGUGAUCUUUAUAAUAACAGACCUGAAGUGAACAUCAUUGAUGGGACUGUGAUAAUAAACCGUGUGAUCAGAGCAGAUUCUGGGAAUUACAGAUUAACACUCACUGACUCAGACGGCACAGAAACAUCUAGAGAUCUUCAAGUGAUUGUUGAAGCUCCUAUUGGCUCAGUGGAAGUGUCAAUCAUCUGCUCCUCCAGUGGGGUGAUGAGGGUGUUCUGCUCCUCUGAGGGGGAUCAGCUCCUCUACAGCUGGACUCUGAAUGGAGAUCCACUGAUGGAUGGAAACAGCAGCAUUGAUCUGGAUGAGAGAAGAGAUGGAGACAUCAGCUGCAGCGUGAAGAACCACGUCAGUCACGCACAGAAGACCAUUAGACUCAAACCCUGUCCUGGACCAACUACUGCAGCUGUGACCUCUAGUUUGACCUCUACGUCGACACAGACAUCAGAAUAUGGUAUGAGUUUCUCAUCAGCUGGUAUGAAUGUCACCUACACUACAACAUUUUCUUCCAGGAUGUGUGAGUGCUGAGCUACAACACAUAAUGUAAAUUACAAUGAAAUCUAAUAAUAAUGAUGGCAGCGAGGGAUCUAUAGGAUCUAUUAUUUGUUUUCUUUCCUGAAAUUAAAAUACCACGAUAAAAAAUAUGCGAUUGGUUUUUAAAAAUCCAUUUGCGCAGUUGUCAUCUUAUAGAGCAAGGAAACAACCAGCCAAUGCAUGCAUAGAGUGAGAAUUUUCUGCUGAUGACGACUACAUAAGCGGAGCAAAGGAAUCAAUGUGGAACUCAUCAAAGUCAUUAAAUACAGCUACUCAAACCAGAACUACUUCUGAUCAAACCUGCCAGAUCUUACAAGUUCAAGAUGCACUGAAUCCGGUAAAAUGCAUUUACAGGGAUACUUCACCCAAAAAUGAAAAUGACCCCAUGAUUUACUCACCCUCCUAGCUUUAUAGUGCUUUCUUCUUUCAGACGAAUACAAUCAGAGUUAUAUUAUAAAAUGUCCUGGCUCUUCCAAGCUUUAUAACAGCAGUGAAUGCAAUGAAGCAUUAGUCCAAAUGAAGUCCAAUAAACUGUGUCCAUCCAUCA
ensembl:lncRNA